rfam:Oryza glaberrima chromosome 3 Oglab03_0146_4, whole genome shotgun sequence.
AAAAAGGCAAACCGUAGGUUUUCGUGUCAACGUUUGACUGUCCGUCUUAUAUAAAUUUUUUUAUAAUUAGUAUUUUCAUUGUUAUUAGAUGAUAAAACAUGAUUAAUACUUUAUGCGUGACUUAUCUUUUUAAUUUUUUUAAUAAUUUUUUCAAAUAAGACGGAUGGUCAAACGUUGGCAAGAAAACUCACGGUUUGCCUUUUU